rnacentral:rRNA from 1 species
CAGUCGCCGCGGUAACACGAAGGGUGCAAGCGUUACUCGGAAUUACUGGGCGUAAAGCGUGCGUAGGUGGUGGUUUAAGUCCGUUGUGAAAGCCCUGGGCUCAACCUGGGAAUUGCAGUGGAUACUGGGUCACUAGAGUGUGGUAGAGGAUAGUGGAAUUUCCGGUGUAGCAGUGAAAUGCGUAGAGAUCGGAAGGAACAUCUGUGGCGAAGGCGACUAUCUGGGCCAACACUGACACUGAGGCACGAAAGCGUGGGGAGCAAACAGGAUUAGAUACCCCGGUAGUCCCUGUCUCUAUACA